rnacentral:lncRNA from 1 species
UUAGAGUCUGCAUUGGGGGUUAAAUGCCAAGAGGCAGUGCCAGGAGAAAUUCUUGCCUAAGAUCAGCUUAAGCAGAUUGUCAAGAGGAAAAAAAAAAAAAAAAAAAAAAAAAAAAACAAGCUUUUUUCUGGAUCCAAAGAGACAGCCUAGGGCUGUUAGGCAAGAGUCAUGAGGCAUUUUCCAAGGCCAGCGUUGCUCCUGCACUCACAGUGUGGAUGCAUAGAACCCCUCUUAUUUUUCCGAAGCAACCCAGCUUUUUGGGGUCACUUCUCCACAUCUUUUGACAGGCUGAAAGUGUCACUAACUGUGAUUAGAAAAACUUCAACUUCAUUCAUCUCUCUUCUAGUCUUGAUGAGCUCUCAGAAUGACUCACGUCAUUAAAAGGCCCCUAGACUUUAAUCCUGAUCCUUGCCCUUCUAAGCACCAACAGCCAAUUUUCCCCACCAGUACAGACUCACUAGUAUUUCUAGACACACAUGCCCUAUGCACAAUGACAGCUGAUUUGCCCAUCACAGAGAGAGACAGACAGACAGACACCUGUUGCUGGGAGCACGGGGGUGGGCAGCAGGCAUGAGAAGCGAGCUGCAGGUACCAGCAACUCUGGCUCCCAGAGCUGGCACACCAUACCUCAUGGCUAAACAAGGAGCACAGAGGUCACCUGAGGAGGUGAGGCAGAACCUUCCUGAGAGCCCAGGAAGCCUUGUGGGAUUAAACCCUCACUCAGCAAACCCUCGCUCCUGCAGCCUUGUCUAAUCCUCUUGACAUUGCAACACAAUGCUGUCUUCUGCAAAGUUCACGACUGAGAAUCAUGCCAACUGAGUUACAAAGCAAACCAAAAGCCCACAGAAAACACCUGCAGAACGUUUCACACAACUUUACGGUUUGGUGUGUGGCCAGGUUCAUAUUAACUCUGGGCCUCCCGUGGCUUGUAGGGUCAGAGUGGACACCCGAUGGAGUGUCACUUUUGACUUCUUUCCUCCCUUUCCCCCUCCUCCUUCUCCUUCUCCUGUUUUUCCUUUCCCUCUCUCCUGUUGGGAGCCGCGCCCACAUUCGCCGUUACAAGAUGGCGCUGACAGCUGUGUUCUAAGUGGUAAACAAAUAAUCUGCGCAUGUGCCAAGGGUAUCUUAUGACUACUUGUGCUCUGCCUUCCCCGUGACGUCAACUCGGCCGAUGGGCUGCAGCCAAUCAGGGAGUGACACGUCCGAGGCGAAGGAGAAUUCUCCUUAAAAAGGGACGGGGUUUCGUUUUCUCUCUCUCUUGCUUUUCUCUCUCUCUUGCUUCUCGCUCGCUCUUGCUUCUUACACUCUGGCUCCUGAAGAUGUAAGCAAUAAAGCCUUGCCGCAG